GUCCCGCAUUCUCACUGUGCUUCCUAAAGGGGCGCCAGUUCAGAGCCAGAGCGGGAUGACUCGGAGCUUCAGUGGUAACUCGGUGCCCAAGCCUAGUCGAAGGCGCGGAGCGAGGCACAGGCCUGCGGUCAGAGAGGGGAGCGGCAGGGCCGCUCUGGCGAGGGCACUGUAGGUGAGAGUGAGCAGAGUCGCUUGGACUCUGCUCGCCCUAGGAACUUCUGCUCGCCUUGGACUGCUGGAGGUUGGAGGAGCCAAGUCGCCUCUUCCCAAACCUUAGUUUUUCACCUUCUCCUUCGCUGCGAGUUAUCGAAAUCAGUGGACGGCCACCGCCAUGGGGAGUACUUGGUGUUGUCACUGGAGUGGCAGAUGCAGUGGGCAGCCUUUCUUGAAAUUUAGGUUGAAUUUUCCUCUUGCCCUUAGCUUUGCGAAGAAAUGUGGGCGCAAGGCAGCACUUUGGAACACUGUGGCUGCCCACACAAGAAUCGCAAAAGCCCUCACCACUGUAGGUCGUUUUCCUGUGGAGAUUAUAAGAGGACAGGAGAAAAAGCAUGUUAAUGUCCGCAUGCAAUCCGUUUACUGUGCAAGGUGAAUCUACCAGGCAACCGGUACCUUGUUUCAGGAAACAGUUGGAUCAUUGCUCCUGGGACUGCUGUACAGUCUCCACCUUUGUACUUCCAAUAUGAUGACCAAUUCUUAGAUGAUGUGCUGCCAGACAAGGUGACUAUAUACCUACCAUGGGACAAGCACCCUGAAAUAUUUCAUUUCUUGGAUAUCCAGAAACCACAUGUGAGUCCAAUCCACGUAGAUGAGCAGGGGCUACAGGACUUAGGCACCAGGAGUCUGCAGGCACUAGGACAUUUAUGGGCUGCCCAUCUCAUGAGAGGAGGCACUUGGGCCAAUUUUAAAUGUCCUAGGGAGUCAUUAGAAGAUUUAUACUGGAGGAGGACAAUCUCGGAAUCUCAGUCACUUCAAACUUCCUGUGAUACAGAGGGAAAAACAGCCAAGAGGCAUGCUGUGUAACCACCAGCACUGUCUAACUGCAGCCUGGAGCCCCAAGAAGAUCACAUGGAUUCUGUGGGGAGGACAUACACAGGCAUCCUGGAGCAGAUGACACAGAAGUUCCUUUGUAUGGAGAAGACACAUGUCAGGGUAACCUAGAGGCAGGUGUCAGCACUCAGGAUAGUUGAUGUCACAGGCCUGAGAAAGUGAGCUCAGGUUCUGUGCAGUCCCAGAGGUAGCGGGUCUGGAUGACAGGUUGAUGGACUCCCCAUACCAACAGGGGGUAGAGACAGGCUUCCUGAAGAAACUUCCUGAAGAGUGCAACUGGACCUGCUCGUCAUAGGGAACAGAGUGGACAGAGGCCAGAGCCCAUAGCAGAAAAGGGCUGGUAGCAUGGUGAUAUCAGCAGGAAUGACUUAGGGUCGUUUUCCCUGCAGCAGCCUCUGUUCCCUGCCCCCAUGUGACUUACGACAUUGAGUCUUCUGAAGACUCUCUAAUAAAGAUGGAAUGAGCACCCCAUUACACUGAUGGAGAAACUAAGGGUUUAUGAACAACCCUCCUCUGCCCUAUACGGUGGCAGAACCAGGAUCUGAACUCAAGCCUGUGAGACUGUGGAGCCUGCAUGACAAGUGGGAUGCACUGAAUGUCACAGGACUGACUUCUUGACUGUACUUCCUGAACCUUUGCUUCCGAUGCCCAGAGAAAAGCCUUUUCCUGCCCUCAGAGAGGCUGCUGCUGGUACUGGAAGAGUCCAGGACCUAGGACCAGCCUUUUCCCACCCAGCUCUCAGUUCAGGCAGUGGGGAUGGCUCUGUCCUCUGAGUUCACUGAGUGCAGAAGAAAAAACACACUAGUGCUCUUUUGUUAAAGAAAAAAUAGUAAUACAUACAGUUUAUUAAAGUGCACCCUUGGAGCAUGGUGUUUACAGCAAGCAGCAUCCUGUUUAAGAAAGGUUUGGUAAAGAACUACACGUAUACCCUGGAUGUAAAAACUUCCACUCAAAACAGGACUUCUUAAUACCAAGGAAGUAACAGUUUGUGCAAAAGCCUGGCUAAAUGGCCCAAAGGUUCUGGUCUAAGGUGCUGUUCUCAGACUAGCAAAC